UACGGAGGGUGCAAGCGUUAUCCGGAUUCACUGGGUUUAAAGGGUGUGUAGGCGGGUAUUUAAGUCAGUGGUGAAAUCUCCAGGCUCAACCUGGAAACUGCCAUUGAUACUAUUUAUCUUGAAUUCUGUUGAGGUGGGCGGAAUACAUCAUGUAGCGGUGAAAUGCUUAGAUAUGACGUAGAACACCGAUUGCGAAGGCAGCUCACUAAACAGACAUUGACGCUGAGGCACGAAAGCGUGGGGAUCAAACAGG
rnacentral:rRNA from 1 species